rnacentral:rRNA from 1 species
GGGGGGGGGGGGGGGGGGGGCGGGGGGGGGGGGGGCGGGCGGGCGGACGGGGAGCUUGCGCCUCUGACGUUAGCGGCGGACGGGUGAGUAACACGUGGAUAACCUACCUAUAAGACUGGGAUAACGUCGGGAAACCGGAGCUAAUACCGGAUAAUAUAUUGAACCGCAUGGUUCAAUAGUGAAAGACGGUUUUGCUGUCACUUAUAGAUGGAUCCGCGCCGCAUUAGCUAGUUGGUAAGGUAACGGCUUACCAAGGCAACGAUGCGUAGCCGACCUGAGAGGGUGAUCGGCCACACUGGAACUGAGACACGGUCCAGACUCCUACGGGAGGCAGCAGUAGGGAAUCUUCCGCAAUGGGCGAAAGCCUGACGGAGCAACGCCGCGUGAGUGAUGAAGGUCUUCGGAUCGUAAAACUCUGUUAUUAGGGAAGAACAAAUGUGUAAGUAACUAUGCACGUCUUGACGGUACCUAAUCAGAAAGCCACGGCUAACUACGUG